CCCAUUUUUGCCUUGUGCAUGGUCCUGCUGUGCUCAGAGGAAGCUGAUUCCCAGUACCUGGUGCUCCAGAAGUGAUCCUCAGCUAAUGAAAGCAACCCUCAGCAUUUCAGAAAACAGGCUGGAGUGUGGCUGAUAGGAGACAAAUCCACCUUUUUCCUU